CAGUCGCCACGGGAAUACGGAGGGUGCAAGCGUUAAUCGGAAUUACUGGGCGUAAAGCGUGCGUAGGCGGUUUGUUAAGUCUGCUGUGAAAUCCCCGGGCUCAACCUGGGAAUGGCAGUGGAUACUGGCAAGCUAGAGUGUGUCAGAGGAUGGUGGAAUUCCCGGUGUAGCGGUGAAAUGCGUAGAGAUCGGGAGGAACAUCAGUGGCGAAGGCGGCCCCCUGGACAAAGACUGACGCUCAGGUGCGAAAGCGUGGGGAGCAAACAGGAUUAGAUACCCCAGUAGUCCCUGUCUCUUAUAC
rnacentral:rRNA from 1 species